UACAGAGGGGGCAAGCGUUAUUCGGAAUUAUUGGGCGUAAAGGGCGCGUAGGCGGUUUUUUAAGUCGGAUGUGUAAUCCCUGGGCUCAACCCAGGAACUGCAUCCGAGACUGGAAGGCUAGAGUACUGGAGAGGGUGGUGGAAUUCCUCGUGUAGCGGUGGAAUGCGUAGAGAUGAGGAGGAACACCAGUGGCGAAGGCGACUCACUGGACACAUAUUGACGCUGAGGUGCGAAAGCGUGGGGAGCAAACAGG
rnacentral:rRNA from 1 species